rnacentral:hammerhead_ribozyme from 1 species
AUUCAACUGACGAGUCCUAAGUAGAACGAAACUUGUAUCUUGAAU